GACGAACGCUGGCGGCGUGCUUAACACAUGCAAGUCGAACGCUGAAGCACCAGCUUGCUGGUGUGGAUGAGUGGCGAACGGGUGAGUAAUACGUGAGUAACCUGCCCUUGACUCUGGGAUAAGCCCGGGAAACUGGGUCUAAUACUGGAUGCUACAUGUCACCGCAUGGUGGUGUGUGGAAAGGGUUUACUGGUCUUGGAUGGGCUCACGGCCUAUCAGCUUGUUGGUGAGGUAAUGGCUCACCAAGGCGACGACGGGUAGCCGGCCUGAGAGGGUGACCGGCGACACUGGGACUGAGACACGGCCCAGACUCCUACGGGAGGCAGCAGUGGGGAAUAUUGCACAAUGGGCGAAAGCCUGAUGCAGCGACGCCGCGUGAGGGAUGACGGCCUUCAGGUUGUAAAACUCUUUCAGCAGGGAAGAAGCCACAAGUGACGGUACCUGCAGAAGAAGCGCCGGCUAACUACGUG
rnacentral:rRNA from 1 species